CGUGUAGUUUAGACCCAACGAGGCGUAGACUUUCAGAUUACCAGUUCAAUCUGGCAAUUUCUACUUUAUGGUCCUUAAACUUGACUUUCACACCUAACAGUGACUAUACAGAAUCACUGAAAACUAAUGGCAAUUACAAGAAAGAUUGGUUCCGCAGAUCGGAGCUGUUCUGUUCCCCAACAAGAUACAUUUGAUACAGGUUUCCAGGAUGCUAUGAUUGGGUAAUCAGAAUCUUUAAGGCUUAUAAGGUGAUGAGCUGAUUUUGAUUGUGAGGUGAAUUUUGGAGUUGACCUAGAGGAAA